rnacentral:lncRNA from 1 species
CACAGCCUCCACCUCCGGGCAAGGGGUCUCAGCCCCUGUCCAAGGACCUGUGCCUUAAUUUUAAAAAAGAAUUAUUUCGGAUAAGAUGCAGUAUUUGGGAUAUACUUACACUCAAAAGAUUUGUUUCUUCUCUGAAAUUAAAACCUAACUGGGAACCCUGAAUUUUAUCUGGCAAUUGGAUGGCCUGGGCAAGUGGGGGACAGACCCUCCCUGGGCCUCUGCUGCUUUAUCAGCACUGCAAAGGUGACAAGGCGGGUCCAUAAGAGCCAAGAACCUCCAGCUCCACAGAGAGCUGACUCUGCCUGUUUCACAGCAUCGCCUGGCCCAAUGCCACCUGUUGGGUAGGGCAGACGCCUCCAAAGUCUAUGGAGAAGGGUCCGGGUGGUUGAGGAGACAGGCCUGCUCUUACGGAACACCCAGUUUCCUCUCACCCCCAGGGAACAGGUCAGCCUGAGUGAAUCAUUGGCUGCCAUUGUAUGAGCGGGCUGGCUUAGGGACCGUCCUGGGUCAUUAGAGGUCCCCAGACAAAAGUGAUCCUGGGCGCUCUGCCCACCUCACUACUUUUUUGGCUACUAGUCCAACCGUGUCCUUGACUGCUGCAGGGGGAGGCCAGGGAGGGGAAGACGAUCCCCAGUGUCACACAGCACACAGUGGGGAACCAAAAGCAACCCUCCAGCUGCUGGAGACUCUGUCCUGUGCCGCCUGGGAAAACACCCUCCUGGCCCUGCACAGCAUCCCCUGAGGGUCAUCCUUGGGACCAUGGGGGUUCUGCCCAAGAAAGACUAAUGGGAUCUUGGGGGGAGCUCUGCCCAAAAGAAUUUUGGAGCAGUUGACGUUGCAGUGAGAUCAUCUUCCAGGCAGGACGGAAUAGCCGGUGGCAAGCCACAGUUCCAUCGAGAACAACACAAAUGGAUGAAAAAUAGA